rnacentral:misc_RNA from 1 species
CGCGACGUAAGUCGAUCUUGUUCUCUCGUUACUGAUUGUGUUUCUGGUUGCUGCUGCUGGAUGUGUGUUGUUUUUUUUCUGAACAUUUCUAUAAUAUAGUGCAGUUCCAAUUGAAACACUUGGGCUGUUAAGAUUACUGCUAAGACAAAGUCAUUGGAAUGGAACUAGCUGAAAACAUCUCCAGCCUAGUGCUUGGUGGUAUUCAAAUGCAUUGGAAGGGAAAAUAUAACAACUUAAAUAAAGAAAAUGAUUUGAAGAGAGGAGAAGAAAUAUUGUACUACAUCAUUGAAACCGAAGAAGAAGUUGAACCUGGAGAAUUAAAAAUUAUUUUCGGAUUCUUCUUACACUAAAACCUCAUCUGUUGGCGAUCCAAUGAAUUGGUCAAACAAGACUUUCAAAUGGCAUCAGUACCCCAUUGAUUCAUGGGUGGAAUUUGAUGUAGGGGAAGUUAUUGAUCCCGACAAGAAAAGAAUACUUCGAUGAUGUAGGUAUACAGAAAGUGGAACACACAACCAAGCGACCAAAACCUGUUGAAGACGAUUUGCAGCUGAAUGUUACGGAAUUGAAUAAUACUAUCCCCGGUAUUUCUGAUGAUUCUGAAUGUGGUGCUAGCGGUUCGAAUCAGCAGUCAUCUCAAGCGAGUUAUGCGGAACCAGCAUGCGACUCCAAGGAUUAUUUGAUUGGGGAUUUAAAUUCCAAAAAUCAAUGUGGUUUCAACUACUUAACAUCUUCUGCUGAAAUUUUGAACAGCUUUGAAACAACUACACCAAUUACAAUGCAUCAUAACCGGCUGCCAGAGAUGCCUUAUUCUGAUAACCAUAAGCUGCAUGAAAUUUCCACCACAGUCAUCCAACACAGUUCGCAACUGUCGUACACCACUUACGGAGCACAAUCUACAAAUCUUGCAAAUAAUCAAUUUGAAAUGAUGAUUGAUUUUCUCCAUCAACUGCAGUCAACCACCAAUGAAAAAUUGGAGAAAUUACUGUUCCGCAUUGACUGUCUUGAAAAAAUUCUUACCAAUUCAUUGCCGUCAUCCGCCGCCGGGCACCUCAAGAAACACAUUGAUUUCUUCACAGUUCAAGUUAAUCCAUUUUUAGGAAAGCUACCACUCGAUUCAUGAGAGCAACUUACUGCCUUUGAAACGUUGUUAUCUGCAAAGGAACUCGUUCAAAUUAGGUUUGUUGCGUUCUUAGCUUACCAGUACAAAUCCGAAAAGACUCCAGCGCUGUUCGUGAAAGCAGCUAUUCAGUUUUUUUUUUCAAAGAAACUUUGCGACAAUGUUCAAUUGAAAAAUAGGAGCGGGGAUGAAAGACGCGGGAUAGGGGAGCUGAUUCAAUUUAUUUCCGUUAUUGGUGCUUCUUUAGACCUUUAUUGUAAGCUUUCAGCGAGGGAGUUGCCUGGCCUGCAGAAAUUAAAGGAUCUUAUCCAAACAGCCAGAUCCAAACUUGCUGAAAAGCAUAGACGAGCUGAAUGUGGAUCUUCAACCAAAAAAAAAUACCCCGCAGCCAGAAAAAGACACCAGAAAAGGAGAAGUCGUCCUUCUAAGUCACAUUGGUAAAAGAAUUCAAUUCAUCUUGAAAGCUCUGGAUGCUUUUGUUCCCCCAAAAUGAUAUGAUAUCUUGAUGUGUAUCAUUAAUACUGUGAUUUUUAAAAUAAGGCUUUUUGACAAAGUUCUUGUCUCCCUUUCCAGAUUAUGCAAAGCAGGUAAUCGAUGGAACAUUGCAUCUGCUGCGAACGGUUAUUUUCCCAUUAGAACUUUCUAAUUAGAACUUUCUAUUUUAUAUUUUUUCGUUAGAACUUUCUAAUUAGAAUUUUCUAAUUGAAAUCUUUGAAUAAUCUGGAAAGGGAAACAAGAACUUGUCAAAAAGCCCUUUAGUCUUGUGAUCUCCUGAAAACAUUUUGCAAUGUUGUCUUACCUGAGAAUUCAGAAACUGUUUUUGCACUCAAAUAAUCCGGUACCUGUCUAUGACAGUUUAAAUUCGAAAAGUUUAGUUUUAAUCUCGUUUCGGUUAUUACAUAUUUUGUUUU